rnacentral:rRNA from 1 species
UACGAAGGGGGCUAGCGUUGCUCGGAAUCACUGGGCGUAAAGCGCACGUAGGCGGACUCUUAAGUCGGUGGUGAAAUCCUGGAGCUCAACUCCAGAACUGCCUCCGAUACUGGGAGCCUUCGAGUCCGGGAGAGGUGAGUGGAACUGCGAGUGUAGAGGUGAAAUUCGUAGAUAUUCGCAAGAACACCAGUGGCGAAGGCGGCUCACUGGCCCGGUACUGACGCUGAGGCGCGAAAGCGUGGGGAGCAAACAGG